rnacentral:tRNA from 1 species
GGCUCGGUAGCUCAGUUGGCAGAGCAGAGGACUGAAAAUCCUCGUGUCGGCGGUUCGAUUUCGUCCCGAGCCACCA